rnacentral:rRNA from 1 species
UACGUAGGGUGCAAGCGUUACUCGGAAUUACUGGGCGUAAAGCGUGCGCAGGCGGCUUUGCAAGACAGAUGUGAAAUCCCCGGGCUUAACCUGGGAACUGCAUUUGUGACUGCAUGGCUGGAGUGCGGCAGAGGGGGAUGGAAUUCCGCGUGUAGCAGUGAAAUGCGUAGAUAUGCGGAGGAACACCGAUGGCGAAGGCAAUCCCCUGGACCUGUACUGACGCUCAUGCACGAAAGCGUGGGGAGCAAACAGG